UCUAAGGGUUGGAACUUUAGGCUCUUAAAGGGACAGCCACAGAGUUUUGCGAAAUAUUAAUUUCAGAAACCUUGUUAUUGCGGUUUGCUACCAUUUAUUCCCCACUUUUCUCUAAACGUAAUCCCCCUGAAAACAUAUUGUGAUUGUUGUUCUUUGCUAUCAAUAAUUGUUAUAAUUGGGAAUUUGGCUUCCUUACAAAAGGCGGCUCACUUUUUUUUUUCCCUCACAGCCAAGUAAACACAGGAAGGGCAGUGCAGUGCAGUGCAGUGCAGUGCAGGCAAAGAUAUUAUAAAGUUGGAGAUUUCCCACUCAACUACAGCCAUGGAGGGCCAGAGUGCUGAACUGUUUUUCAGUGUUUCCUUCUAAUUGGACUGAUUCAGAUCUGGAUGGGGACACCUGUAACACAAGGUGUGAUUUGGCAAAACAAGAUUAUUGGGGGCCCCUACAACACCUCCCUGAAGCUUACCAAUGAACCAGAGGCCACCCCUGCUUCCUACCCAGUACCACAGACCGUUAUCAAACCAUACAGUAGGCCAGCACACUCCACUCUUCUACCUGUAGCUGCCUGAUACUGCUUCUCAGGAUGUCUUCAUUGUUCUGGUGCCUCAUUGGAUCGGUCUUGCGAUUGACUACAGCUGCUUAGUCUUUCUUGCCAGACUCAUGGUUGGCACUAAUAGACUCAUGGUUGGCCAUUAAUAGAUGCAAACUGCUUUAGCGCCUAUUAACAAUAGUAUCUUCUGGUCGGGGGCGUUUUGUUAAGAUCCCCGAGACUCGUUCUGAGCGUUAUGGUUUGUGGUAUGGUUUUGGAAACAUAAGGAAAUAUCUUUCAUAUCAGCGACAAAUAAUAAUUAAAAAAAGGUUAAAUUACUACACACCUUUAUAGGGUUAGCGUAAGUGUUCCCACACAGCCAUAUCUCCAUGUUACAUCACUUGUUUACGGAAGACAGACUGAAGACAUAGGUGGCAAGCCACCUGUGCUAAUUAGCUAUCUAGCGUGCUCGGAACACCUGUGUGUAAGCGUAACUGGGGAGGAAGUGUAGUUCUUCAACUGUAGGCACACACAGCUUGUCUGUCUGUGCAAACUGCUACAGUAAGUGUACAACUUUUAUAUGAAAGGUUCUUUCUUGUUGAUAUUAAAGAAAAGAGUCUGAAAACCCUACAUAUGGAGAAGAAGUGAUCCCCAGAGCUGACUGAUUCCUCCCUUCACUGUUAUUUUGCUUGUCCUGCUGCAUGCAUGCUGUCAGCCUGUUUUGAUGUAAAAAUUCAUGUUGAUAUGCUAAUAUUGAAUGUUGUUGAUGUUUACCCUUUCAGACUCCAUGGUACCAGUUUGCCUCUGGAUUUUUAAACCCAACUGAGAAACUGAGGACAUGUGCGUCAACUUGUUUCAGGACAUUGUCUUUGACUGGAAGAUGUAGGCAGGCUUUACAUCUUGGGGGAUUUUGUACAGUAGGCAACACUUCUGGGAGCAUUUGCACCAAAUUUUACAGCUGCUGUGUGGCUGACGGUUGCGGCACUAAUAGCUGAGGGUUGUGACACCAGUUCAUACUGAUAGUCGUGCACAAGUCCAAAUACAGUGCUGAAAGGCAUAAUCAACAGUGCUUUGUUUAGCUAGCUUGCUGGCUAAUGCUAUGCAGCACAAAUGCCAAAGUCUGAACAAUUGCAAUAAAGGUUAAAACCAGAAAAAGUAUAUUUGACAGUGUCAAUUAGUUUGUUGCAUUAGCAACGAAUCAACAUUCCAAAAUUGUUUUUAUUGAAAUGGAACCCUAUUAAGAAUAACACAUUGACGUUCUGGACUUUCGAACACAUCUCACGCUUCGUGAAGCCAUUGUUUGAUCACGGACAGAAAUUAGUGAAGCAAGUAAAUAAUGUCAUUACUGCCUAAGAUAACUUUACGCCUAUUUGGCAGAGAGACAUUUUCUUCAUGACCAGUUCAAGUGUAUAUCCGCGAAAAUGUCUUCUUCCUCUGGUGGACAUGGAAGCAGACUUGGAAGGGGGAUUCCUUAAAAAAUACCGGGCCAGGUACCCCAACGAACUGUACAUCACCCUGGAGGACAGACAAGGAUUCUGGGUGUCAUCUCAGUAUGGGAACUUGAGGCGUGAUCUGUGUUGAAGUAGUUCUGAACUGUCCAUGUUGCCUGUAUUUGGCUCCAUUCAUUGUUCCCUCUAUCCUUACCAGUCUCCCAGUCCCUGAAAAGCAUCACCAGUCUCCCAGACGCUGAAAAGCAUCCCCAUAGCAUGAUGCUGCCACCACCAUGCUCCACAGUAGGGAUGGUGUUAGACAGGUGAUGAGUUGUGCCUGGUUUUCUCCAAACAUAGCACUUUGCAUUACAUUUUUGUUUCGUCAGACCACAGAAUCUUUUUAUAUUAUUUGUAUUUAAUUUUUUUAUUUAACCAGGCAAGUCAGUUAACAACAAAUUGUUAUUUACAAUGACGGCCUACCCUGGCCAAACCCGGACGAUGCUGGGUCAAUUGUGCGCUGCCCUAUGGGACUCCCAAUCAUGGCCAGAUGUGAUACAGCCUGGAAUCGAACCAGGGAUUGUGACACCUCUUGCACUGAGAUGCAGUGCCUUAGACCGCUGCACCACUCGGAAGCACUCAUGACAUAGUGUGCUCUGCUGAAUGUCUUUGCUAUGCGUUGUUUGCAUAGCUAAAAAGUCACCAUGCUUAGUGCCUACAGUAUUUCUGGGAAAACUAUUUUUAUAGCUGUAACCUUUGCUUUACCCUUUGUUAGUGUUUCACUUUGGCCUAGCUGAUGUGAACAACCAUAUAGCAGUUAACUUCAAGGGCAAUUGUCCUCAUUUAACAAAUUCACAGGUCUCCCUGUUCCAUCAUUAGCCUACAUUCUCAUGUUAGGACAUCUUCUUUGCUCACCUGUAUGUUGUUGAAACUGUAUGUUGUUGAACAUUUACAUUGAAAACAAACUAACCCAGUUGUUUUCUUCUCUGUUUUCCAGCACAGAUGUUUUUAUUUGCACCAGCCCUAUAAAACAUUAUAUACACUGCCCUGAUGAGAAGUGUGCGUGGAUAGAGAAACACCUGAGCUAUGACUUCUUGGAGCAGAUCAUCCUGACCUGAGACAAGACCAUGGUGACUGGGGACAUCCUCAUAGAUGACACGCCAGACAUCCUAGGUGUAGAGCCCAACCCAACCUGGGAGCCCAUCCUGUUCACUGUCUGCCACAACAAAAACGUAUCCUCCAGCCACCGCCGCCUGCUCUCCUGGGCCGAUGACUGGAGGGCCAUCCUGGAGAGCAAGAGGCACUGAACCCUUAAGCACACACCAACCUCCCCUUCUCCACCCUGAUGACCUACACUACAUUGGGGUUCAACUGCUAGAGUGAAUACCUCCACUAAUACACCACAGUGAAUCUCCAACUUGAAGUUAAAGGGAGGGGGGAACCAGCGAAGAGGGAGAAGAUAAACUGUCUCUGUAGAAUGGCUACCAAGAGAGGGGAGCGAUCCAAGAAGAUCCAUUAAGACGGUGACAAACCUGUGAUUGGUGUUAUAGUUUAAAGAUAAUCGUCUUGUGUUCCUGUGUCAUCUGAAGAAGAUGUGUUUUUCUUCGGGAGAUUCUCAUUGAUUGUGUUGGAGUGUUUGUAUCGUCAGAAAUCUCUCAACAGAGAACUGUGUUCAAUCAAGAAAACCUACUCGUGACUCGUUUAUUCCACCUUUCUGCUUUAGAGUGACACCAAAUUACUUGGUCCGCUCACACUAUAUAUAUUUUUUCAACCUAGUUUAGGUCGAUUUUUAUAGAGGGUUACAUAAAUGAAUAUGUUUUCAAGCUGCACCCAUUGCUUAUGUAAUUAUGUGUCCUUACCAAUCCACAUGCAUGUAUAAGGAAUGACAGAUAUAACUAGGUUUCAUGAUUUAAAAUGCAUGUUAAAUAUAUAACAAUUAUUAAAGUAGAAGAAAGUGAAUAUACUUAAUUUUUUGAAUAUACAUUAUACAUCACAAAUAUUUUAUUUCAAUAUUGUCAUUCAUCUAAGCGUAACUUAUUUGCAUUAGUCGUAUGUGUCUUUGUCACGGUUGUCGAAGGGUAAAGACCAAGAUGCAGCGGGAAAAUAUAUACUCAUCUUCUUUUUAUUUGGUGAAGAAGGGAAACACAAACGUAUACAAAAACACAAACGAACUGGACAGUCUUGUCAGGCACACAGCUAAACAAGCACAAUCUCCCACCAACUAACAGGUGAAAACAGGCGACCUAAGUAUGACUCUCAAUCAGCAACAACGAUGUACAGCAGUUCCUGAUUGAGAGCCACACCAGGCCAACACAGAAAUACAACACUAGACCAGCCCCCUAGAAAUACAAUACAAGAACAUACCCAACAACCCGGAACACCUAAAUCAAACACCCCAUCUUACAUAAAUACAUAUCUAAUAAACCCUGAACCACUUAAAUAAAUACCAUUUCUACAUAGAUAUACCACUAAACCCAGAAACACUCUACACAAAAUAACCCUCUAUAUAAACACAUAACCAAAAACAUGUACAACAAAUACCCUCUGCCACAUCCUGACCAAACUACAAUAACAAAUAGGCCCUUUACUGGUCAGGACGUGACAGUCUUAUUGUUAGUGAGACAAAAAAAAAACUUAACCUCAAAAUAUCCUAUACCCUCUGUUGUGAACAAAUAUGGUCAAGCUCUUCCAUCAAAAAGCAUGUAUAUCUCUUUGCAGGCCUUGCAGUAUAUUCACAAAGUGGUCUACUGAAGAACUUAUGAUCAAGUUGCCUUUAUUAACAAAGAACAACACUGAUUGCGAGCAAACAACUAAACGGGUAACCAUUUUGUGCUAUUUGUUGCAAUGGUGUCAGCUAUUGCUGCUACUUCCUAAAAUGUGGUCGCAGGCAGCAUUGUCAAUGGCCUAUCAAGCUUCUUAAAUGUUUCAUCCAUCACUCCUAGUGAGAGAAUGUACUGUACAGUACUUACACCUAGCUGAAUGUCUCUAGCUUCUAAUUCAGUUGUACAAAAUCAUUUGAAAUUGAUGCUAAAAUGUUGUUCAUUGGUAGUUCACCUAUUGUGAGUGUCCUUUCCCCCAGUGAUUCAGAGCGGGCAUAGCAAGCUUUGGCCUGACCUCUAUGUGGCUCUGGUUCUAUCUGUUUUCAGUCUAACCAUAUCAGCAUGAUGUUGAAGCGAACUAAUUUUGAAUCUUGUUUCACACAAUGCCUUUGUACCAAUGCCCCCUCCUUUUCUCUCCUCCUAUCUCUGAUGUUAAUCAAAUUGUAAAAGCACUGGUAGGCUUUUCUUGUGUUGAUUUUUAACCUUCCAUGUGUCUUUACAGUUGUCAUGAAGGUAAGGAGAUUAGGAAAAGAAUGUUGUCAAGACUGUUGGACAACAAGUGUUGUUGUUCACACAUGAUUGCCCUGAUGAUGACUGUCUAUGGGGCGAGUUAGGGCUAAGCAAUGUGUGUGACCACUGUACACUGCCCAGUCAACCACUGCGUCUCACAAAGCCUCUUCACGUCACUGCAUCUUGUCAAUGAUUGCCUCGUGUCUUUGGUGUUGAAUAAUAUGCCAAUGUGCUUUUUUGGAGAACAGAAAAUACACCAAAUGUUGCCAUUAACAACCGAUUGAAUAAAGAAUGCAACAUAUUGAAAA